UACGGAGGAUCCGAGCGUUAUCCGGAUUUAUUGGGUUUAAAGGGUGCUCAGGCGGGCCAUUAAGUCGGCGGUGAAAUUUUGCGGCUCAACCGUAAAAGUGCCUUCGAUACUGGUGGUCUUGAGUGGGGAUGAGGUAGGCGGAAUUUGUGGUGUAGCGGUGAAAUGCAUAGAUAUCACGAGGAACUCCGAUUGCUAAGGCAGCUUACUAAGCCAUAACUGACGCUCAAGCACGAAGGCGUGGGGAUCAAACAGGAUUAGAUACCCUGGUAGU
rnacentral:rRNA from 1 species